GCUGGGAGUGGUGGCGCACACCUGUAAUCCCAGCAGCUUGGGAAGCUGAGGCAGGAGGAUUGUGAGUUCAAAACCAGCCUCAG
rnacentral:sRNA from 1 species